rnacentral:rRNA from 1 species
UACGUAGGGUGCAAGCGUUAAUCGGAAUUACUGGGCGUAAAGCGUGCGCAGGCGGUUCGGAAAGAAAGAUGUGAAAUCCCAGGGCUUAACCUUGGAACUACAUUUUUAACUGCCGAGCUAGAGUAUGUCAGAGGGGGGUAGAAUUCCACGUGUAGCAGUGAAAUGCGUAGAGAUGUGGAGGAAUACCGAUGGCGAAGGCAGCCCCCUGGGAUAAUACUGACGCUCAUGCACGAAAGCGUGGGGAGCAAACAGG